CGGGACACGUGGUAUCCUGUCUGAAUAUGGGGGGACCAUCCUCCAAGGCUAAAUACUCCUGACUGACCGAUAGUGAACCAGUACCGUGAGGGAAAGGCGAAAAGAACCCCGGCGAGGGGAGUGAAAAAGAACCUGAAACCGUGUACGUACAAGCAGUGGGAGCACGCUUAGGCGUGUGACUGCGUACCUUUUGUAUAAUGGGUCAGCGACUUAUAUUCUGUAGCAAGGUUAACCGAAUAGGGGAGCCGAAGGGAAACCGAGUCUUAACUGGGCGUUAAGUUGCAGGGUAUAGACCCGAAACCCGGUGAUCUAGCCAUGGGCAGGUUGAAGGUUGGGUAACACUAACUGGAGGACCGAACCGACUAAUGUUGAAAAAUUAGCGGAUGACUUGUGGCUGGGGGUGAAAGGCCAAUCAAACCGGGAGAUAGCUGGUUCUCCCCGAAAGCUAUUUAGGUAGCGCCUCGUGAAUUCAUCUCCGGGGGUAGAGCACUGUUUCGGCAAGGGGGUCAUCCCGACUUACCAACCCGAUGCAAACUGCGAAUACCGGAGAAUGUUAUCACGGGAGACACACGGCGGGUGCUAACGUCCGUCGUGAAGAGGGAAACAACCCAGACCGCCAGCUAAGGUCCCAAAGUCAUGGUUAAGUGGGAAACGAUGUGGGAAGGCCCAGACAGCCAGGAUGUUGGCUUAGAAGCAGCCAUCAUUUAAAGAAAGCGUAAUAGCUCACUGGUCGAGUCGGCCUGCGCGGAAGAUGUAACGGGGCUAAACCAUGCACCGAAGCUGCGGCAGCGACGCUGAUGCGUUGUUGGGUAGGGGAGCGUUCUGUAAGCCUGUGAAG
rnacentral:rRNA from 1 species